GAUGAACGCUGGCGGCGUGCCUAAUACAUGCAAGUCGAGCGAAGCGGGGACGGGUGAGUAAAACGUGGAUAACCUCCUAUAAGGAUGGGAUAACUUCGGGAAACCGGAGCUAAACCGGAAACUUAUCGAUGGAUCCGGGCUGCAUUAGCUAGGUGGUAAGGUAACGGCUUACCAAGGCAACGAUGCAUAGCUGAACUGAGAGGGUGAUCGGCCACACUGGAACGUAGAAACGGUCCAGACUCCUACGGGAGGCAGCAGUGGGGAAUCUUCGGCAAUGGGCGAAAGCCUGAUGGAGCAACCCCGCGUGAGUGAUGAAGGUCUUCGGAUUGUAAAACGCUGUUAGUAGGGAAGCGGUACCUAAUCAGAAAGCCCCGGCUAACUCCGUGCCAGCCGCCGCGGUAAUAC
rnacentral:rRNA from 1 species